rnacentral:rRNA from 1 species
UGGGGAAUUUUGGACAAUGGGCGCAAGCCUGAUCCAGCCAUGCCGCGUGCGGGAAGAAGGCCUUCGGGUUGUAAACCGCUUUUGUCAGGGAAGAAACGCUCUGGGCUAAUACCCUGGGGUAAUGACGGUACCUGAAGAAUAAGCACCGGCUAACUACGUGCCAGCAGCCGCGGUAAUACGUAGGGUGCAAGCGUUAAUCGGAAUUACUGGGCGUAAAGCGUGCGCAGGCGGUUAUGCAAGACAGAUGUGAAAUCCCCGGGCUCAACCUGGGAACUGCAUUUGUGACUGUAUAGCUAGAGUACGGUAGAGGGGAUGGAAUUCCGCGUGUAGCAGUGAAAUGCGUAGAUAUGCGGAGGAACACCGAUGGCGAAGGCAAUCCCCUGGACCUGUACUGACGCUCAUGCACGAAAGCGUGGGGAGCAAACAGGAUUAGAUACCCCCGUAGUCCCUGAGCGGGCUGGCAAGGCGCAU